rnacentral:rRNA from 1 species
AUGGAUCCCAGCAGCUUCAAAAACGGAGGCCUUCUGCUUCCAACCAUUGAGAGGCGUUGCACUUCGCCUCCAUCUGUCAUCGUGAUCGGUGGAGGAAUCUCAGGGAUUGCUGCGGCUCAUGUCCUCUCCAAUUCCUCUUUUCAGGUGACUGUCCUUGAGUCGAGAGAUCGAAUUGGUGACCAUGUUCAUACGGAUUACUACUUUGGAUGCCCCAUCUACAUGGGAGCCUCAUGGUUGCACGGUGUCAGUAAUGAGAUUUCUUUAGCACCAUUGAUUGGCCAGCUAAAAAAGUACUACUGGCUAAGGAGAGCAGCUUGUCUGAAUUUCGAGCAGUUGGUGGUCAGGUUGAACUCUGAAUGA